CCACGAGCUGGUCAGGGAAGUGGUUGACGAUGGCUCUCAGGAUCUCGUCUCUCUCGAGGCCUGCAGCGACAUGGAGCAACGGAUUUCGGGAGGGGCUCAGAAUGACCCGCAGACACAGACGUAGGUUGCGCUCGGAACAGUAACGUUCUACGACUCUGAUGAAUACGUCCACGUCGCCUUGUUUUGCUGCAGUGAAUAGCUCCUGGGCCGUCGUCUCAUCGCAGGAGACAGAGUCUUGCGUCAACAUUGCUUCCAAUCUCUGCAGCUUCCGACUCUAGAGAGCACUCUCUUGC
rnacentral:lncRNA from 1 species